rnacentral:rRNA from 1 species
GAUGAACGCUGGUGGCGUGCCUAAUACACGCAAGUCGAGCGAACGGACGAGAAGCUUGCUUCUCUGAUGUUAGCGGCGGACGGGUGAGUAACACGUGGAUAACCUACCUAUAAGACUGGGAUAACUUCGGGAAACCGUAGCUAAUACCGGAUAAUAUUUUGAACCGCAUGGUUCAAAAGUGAAAGACGGUCUUGCUGUCACUUAUAGAUGGAUCCGCGCUGCAUUAGCUAGUUGGUAAGGUAACGGCUUACCAAGGCAACGAUGCAUAGCCGACCUGAGAGGGUGAUCGGCCACACUGGAACUGAGACACGGUCCAGACUCCUACGGGAGGCAGCAGUAGGGAAUCUUCCGCAAUGGGCGAAAGCCUGACGGAGCAACGCCGCGUGAGUGAUGAAGGUCUUCGGAUCGUAAAACUCUGUUAUUAGGGAAGAACAUAUGUGUAAGUAACUGUGCACAUCUUGACGGUACCUAAUCAGAAAGCCACGGCUAACUACGUG